ACUUUAUUAAGGUUCUUGUAAAAAGCAUUUUGAAACCUCCCCUUGGGAGAAGUUUUGUUUUAGUUUUUUUACGCCACAUGGGCCUUGGUAUAUCGAAUAUACCAAACUGUUAGUGUUAAGUAGAACAAACUUUGAAAACAGGUUAUUCUUUUUUGAACAACACGUUUUGCCUGUAAUAUAUCUGUUGUAUUUUGGUGAGAAAAUUAUCUACCCAGUGUAGGACUCGAACCUACAACAAGUAGGCAAAUAAGGUGCUCUACCAACUGAGCUAACCAAGCUCCUGGUUAACCAGAAGCCUCAAAUCACUACCUUCUUCCUCACUUUAAUUUUGAAGGCUUUUAAAAAAAACCUUAUCAUGGAAUAAUAGAGCAAGGCAUCAACUGUUCAGCUUCCAACAAAAUAUAGCCUCUGCAAAUACCACAUGCUCUAUGUAACUGGCCACGUAUCCUUCCUUUACAGCGGAAUUGCAGAGCAGGGCAUCAACUGUUCAGUUUCCAAAAGAGUAUCCUGCAAACCACAUGCUCUACAUAAAGUAAAGUGGUCACUGUAGCCCACACUUUCCAAUUUACCUCGUCGCCAAGAUGUUGUAUUUUGGGGAGAAAAUCAUCUACCCAGUGUAGGACUCGAACCUACGACCCCUGCUUGCCAGUCAGGUGCUCUACCAACUGAGCUAAUCGGGCUCCUGGUUAACCAGAAGCCUCCAAUCACUACAUAUCACAUGUACUUUGACUGUUCAUGUUCUAGCUAUUUUUAAUAAAUAUUCAUAGGGAUUGUUUUCAUAGCUUAUCAUUCUUUGCGACAAAAUUUCGGCCCAGGGCCUUUAUCAAGUCACAUGCACAAGUCUUAGAUUACAUAUUCUGCAAUUCUUAUGGCUAACAAAUACAUAAGAUAAGUAACGUUAUAUUGAAUCACGGAAAUGACGUUAACAUAAACAAUACAAAUGACGUACACCUGCCAAAAUUGGGUUCCAUACCGUCUAUUAAAAACACACGCUACUUACAGAAAGUUACAGGUUUCCAUAAGAAAACUCUUAUUUAGAAAUAUAUGAUGGUAUCAUUGUGAUAAGACCAGCUAUAAUCGAUAAAAAAGACUAUUUCAAAAAUCUAGCAAUUAAAUUUUGUCUGUAGCAUCAUUAUAAGGUCCCCUCCCAAAUGUGUUCAAAUUGGGGCCACUUAAACAUGAUGGCUCUCUUGUUACCUUAAUAUAUGAUACUAACUUUUAUGUAAGUGACAUAUGUUGUACUUUUUGCUACAUAUUUUCACUAUGAGUAGAAAUAUCUCUAAAACAGUGUCACUGGAUUGAAAAUUGUCAUUUUAUGCAAUAAGUGGCUAACUGUAUUGACAUAAAUUUUAUCAGCAAUUAGCCACUACGCUCUAAGGUGACAAAUUUUAUUACAUGUAAUAUAUGCACUGUUAAGUUACAGACCUAAGGUGGGUGAUGUCAGGCAAAUCCCUAUUUUAAUAUAUAUUUGAGAUUGUAUUUUUAGAAUUCGAAUGGGGACUAUUGCCUGUCAUUGGCUAUGAAAUUGUCAUGAUAAAAUACUGUUCAAUCUGUAAUGAAUACAUUCAAGUAAUAUGCAUAUUAAUUGCAAUUGUAUGUCAGCAGUGUAAUGGUUCUGCAUAGAGCCUCUGCAGUCAUACAUGUGGAAGAACUCACUGCAAAGAGUGAGAUGAGAAGUGAAAGAGCCACUAGAAAUGUUACAGGGAUGAUGAGCAGGACAGUAUAAAGCAUAGAUCUUGGCCAGACACUCAUGACCUCUGGAGGAUAGUCCUCGGCCCAUAUACUCCUAUAUAUCCUACUGGACUAGGAAUUGUUGUGGCACUAGGUAUACAAAUGAGACAAUUUACUGGUCUUCACAGAAAACACAAGAACCCUUUGGUAACCAGGAAACAGUGCUUGUUGUCAGCAAUAGUUUUGCGGGCCCUACCAACCAUGCAUCACUGACAGUAAACAGUGCUAACAACUUAAAAGAACAUUGUGAACAAGCACGAUGCAUUCCAUAUGUAGUAACUGGUUAGAAACUGUUGAGGAACACAAGUAAAAUAGCUCAAGUGUGAAAUGUGAGAAGUAUGGCUACAGACCAUGAACUCCAGAUGUAAAACGAUGCAGGUCUUCCUUCUAAAUGGUGAAUUAGGGAAACAUUGUGAAUGGCAAUCAUAGAGAACAUCGAAGUCUGUAGAAUUGUGAUGUGUCAGCCAGUCUUCCAGUCAUUCUGAUCCGUCAUUGUUGGGUCAGCAAAUUUGCAGUGCAUGCCUGGAUUUAACAGUUUGGCACAGGUUUUACCAUUAUAAAGACAGUAGGUUGUAACAGAUUUAAGGUAAUUUAUUUUGUUUGAUCUGAUAGCUUGAUUGACUUUCAUUGGGGACUGAAUUAGACUUUUUCAAAGGUCAAAGUUAUUGUUUUUAGCUUGACUAUAAGAAAUGUAUGGAGAGCUAUCCUACUUGCCCCUGGCGAUAGUGUCCUUCCGAGUCCACAUCUUGGUUAAAGUAUUUAUACACUUUUUAUUUUUAGUUUUUGACUUUACACAAGAGUGAUCAGUGCCAAGCCUAGUUAUGCAUUUUCGGCACUUUCCGCUUCGCUGCACAAAAUUGCCGCAAGAGAAAAAUCUUAUCCAGCUUUCACAGUCAAACUGCAGGCUGGAUUUUGAUGAAAGUUCACAGGAGUGAUCAGGACCAAGCCUAGUUGUGCCUAUAUCUGGCAUGUUCCACUAUGCUGCAAAAGAUGGCCACCAGUGCUAAAAAAAGAAAAAUCUUGUCCAGCUUUCACAGGUCAAACUGCUGGCUGGAUUUCAACGAAACUUCACAGAAGGGAUAAGUAUUAAGCCUAGUUUUGCAUAUUGCCGAACCGUUCCUCUUCCCUGCACAAAAUGGCCGCCAGAGCCAAAAAUAGAAAAAUCUUGUCUGGUUUUCACAGGUCAAACUGCUGGACAGAUUUUGAUGAAACUUCACAGGAGUGAUAAGUACCAAGCAUAGUUGGGCAUAUCGCCAACAUGUUCCGCUUCGCUGCACAAAAUGGCCGCCAGAGCUGAAGGUAUACAUAAGUGGGAGACAUAUGGUUUUUGUGACAAAAACACCUAGUUUUAGGUUAGUUUUGAUGCAUUUUCAUUAUAUCUGUCUUACAAUAGUAGAGAUUUGAUUCAAACAUAAAAUAAUUGUUCCAUAUUCUCUACAACAUCAUUUUACAAAAGAACCAUAUCUCUGGCACCAAUAUUUUAUUAUACUGGGUACACCAAUUACCGGGAAUCUUACUUGAUAUCAGGCUCGCAAUAUAUACCAAGGUCAUGAAUAACAUAAAAUAAUGUUUUAUCAUAACAUUGCAGCACUUUUAUUUAAAUUAAGUGCAAACAUUUCAAAUUGUAUUCUAAUACUUGACAACUACCGGGUACCAAGUCUACAAGAAGUCCAUGUGGGCCGCCAUUUUUGUUUAGUCAAUAUACCUAUUACCGUGAAACUGAAUAUUAGCCAAUUAGAAGACAGAAAAAUCUAGUGCAGGGCAGAAUUCAAUACUAAUGUAUAAAACUUCUGACCUUUAACGUCAAAAUAAGGUAAAUUAUUACAUUUCAUUUUUUCAACUUUUAUAAUUACAGAUAGUUUUCUUUUGCACUUCUGUCUAAUAUUUGAAGCUAUUUUCUUGCAUUUAAGGUUCCCUGUCACAUAAUGGACAAAUGAAUGUGUCACCACGCCUGAAAACUCUAACUGGUGUACAAUAUUUUAGGUGUACCCAUCCUGAGCAAGAGUCACAUCUGCCCCACUCGAUUAUUUCUAUAGUGUAAGCACAUGUGAAUGCAUCUGGUGAGCUCUUUUUGCAUACAACACAUUUGUCUGUUUCAUCAUCCUCAACAUAACUGUCACUGUCUGAGUCGGUGUCCACUGGUAUGCCACUUGUGGUUUUCAGGUUCAGGCCAGAUGUUCCAGGCAGUGGUGAUUUUUUUUCAACAUGUUUAGAGGACUUUACAGAUUUCUUUGAGCUGGAUUUGUUUUCAUUUUCAGGUUUAAUUUGAAGACUGCUUUCAGACGGCCUUUUCAGUUUUGAAGACUUGGUUGGUGACAUGAGGUUACCGUGGACAGCUGGUGGAACUUUAUUUUUCUUUUGGGCUUGCAGUACCUUUGUUAUUUUUCUUUUAUUCAGGAAACUUAGUUCUUUUUCAUUUUCAGUACCAGUUGUGUUUUCUUCAGUUGUGUCUACUGCAUUGACCACUUCCUGAUAGAUUGUGUGAUGGAGUUAAUUGGUCCCUAUUUAUGGGAUAUAUUCCUGACUUCUUGAAGGCUGCAAUAAGAUUGGCCGGAGUGACAGCUUUGUUACAUGCCUUGCCAGAUAGUUCAGCGAUAUUCAGCUUAUUGAUCUGCAUGCCAGGUGUUCUCCUCAUGUAUGCCUGGCACUCCCUGUGGUAUGCCCUUUUUAUAGGCCCAAAACAGCCCACGUCCAGGGGCUGAGUAAUGUGCGACGUAUGUGGAGGAAUAACAAAGAACACUAAAUUUCUUAAUUCCCGCCAUUCUUUCAAGGUCAUAUUUACAUGGGAUUUAUGUCCAUCGAACAAGAGUAACACUGGUUCAUUACUGGCGGGUACAUAUUUGCUGAAGUGCAUUUUUAAAUAGUCCAGAAAGAUCAAAGAAUUUGACCAUCCAGAGUCAGACAUUGUUCCUGCAGAUCCAGGGCAAGCACCAUCAAGGAAGUCAGAUUUCCAUCUUUUGCCCUGGAAGAUAUAGUAAGGGGGCACCCUGUUGCCAACAGCACUCCCAGCAGCAAUUAUGGUAACUGUUUGUCCCUGCUACUGGUAACAGCUUUCGGUACAGAACCUUUUUCACAAAGGACGUUAGCAGGCCUAUGCUCCAUGAGAAGACCAGAUUUGUCAACAUUCCAUAUAUUUUAAGGUU